GGGGGCGUCUUGGAUUCGACAGGGGUUUGUUUGAAUAGGGUUGCAGUCGUCGGCAUACGUAAAGUGUACAAAAAAAAUAUCUGGAAACAGACAAUUAUCUUUCGCUUGCUAGUCUAAGAGAGACAUUAGCGAAUAUCAGCCUACAAUUUACCUAUAGUUGUAGAACCUGGUAACAUAACAUAUGGGUUAAGGUUAUAUAGCGUCUGGAUAUAUAAUUCGAAAAUUUACAGAAUCGCUAAGUGAAAGAUUGCUUGUUGAUCGUAGCUUAGUUAAAAACAUUCAACAAGAUAAACUGUAGAAGCCUUAUAUGGGACGGCUUUUGGACAGGGGUUCGAUUCCCCUCGCCUCCACCA
rnacentral:tmRNA from 1 species